AUUGAACGCUGGCGGCAGGCCUAACACAUGCAAGUCGAGCGGAUGAAGGGAGCUUGCUCCUGGAUUCAGCGGCGGACGGGUGAGUAAUGCCUAGGAAUCUGCCUGGUAGUGGGGGGUAACGUCCGGAAACGGGCGCUAAUACCGCAUACGUCCUGAGGGAGAAAGUGGGGGAUCUUCGGACCUCACGCUAUCGGAUGAGCCUAGGUCGGAUUAGCUAGUUGGUGGGGUAAAGGCCUACCAAGGCGACGAUCCGUAACUGGUCUGAGAGGAUGAUCAGUCACACUGGAACUGAGACACGGUCCAGACUCCUACGGGAGGCAGCAGUGGGGAAUAUUGGACAAUGGGCGAAAGCCUGAUCCAGCCAUGCCGCGUGUGUGAAGAAGGUCUUCGGAUUGUAAAGCACUUUAAGUUGGGAGGAAGGGCAGUAAGUUAAUACCUUGCUGUUUUGACGUUACCAACAGAAUAAGCACCGGCUAACUUCGUG
rnacentral:rRNA from 1 species